UGUGUGUGUGUGUGUGUGUGUGUGUGUGUGUGUGUAUAUAUACGCGCAUGCACACACACAUGCAUACAUU